ensembl:snRNA
GUAUUAUAUGAAAGGAGAGAAGAUUAGCACUCCCCUUGACAAGGAUGGAAGAGGCCCUUGGGCCUGACAACACACUGUUUGGUUAAGUCAUUAUGACCUACUUGGUGGCAUCUAACCAUAGUUUAGU